CUCAUUCCAGUUGCAGUCUUGAGCUCAGCAGAGGCUUGGAGAGCGUGAUGCUUCUACUCAGCCAUGAAAAGGAAGGAGAUGCUGCCGUUUGCAGCAACGUGGAUGGACCUAGAGGUGAUCAAGUGAAGUGAAUGUGCUAUGAGCAUCUCUGCAAUAAAAGCACCUUCGAAGGACACAGAGGGCGUCACUUCUGGAACAUCUGGGACAGGAUUUUUGCCCUGGUUUGGUGAUUUUCCAUAAAGACGGGUUACCUGAUGGGCCGUUUGGUGUCGUCUGAGCAAAGUUUAUCCAAGAGGCAGCUUCAUUCCUUUUGGACGAAUGCACAUUAUUUCCCCAUCAAGGGCCUUGAAUGCUGACCCCCAGGUGGGGCUAGGAUGUCACCAUGGACAGUGCUCGCUGGCAGGUACCAUUUUCUUUUCUGCCCCUGUGAAGAGGUACGGGACCAUUCAGCACGGUCACCUGCUCCACCAAUCUGCCACUCUCCAGGCGGCGCGUUCAACCUGGAAAAGAAGUUGAUCGAUCUCCAAGGAAACGGGUGGUGAUGUGGAUGCCCUGUUCCCUGGUAGCAGGUUCUCAGCCCACAGCCCAGACUGGAAGGCGGGGCUGUGCUCUCGGAUGGAUCUAGAGAUGGAAAAGUCCUGGAGGACCCAGUGAAUCAUGCCCUCUGACUCUGGGCCAGGUGGGUGUCGCCACCUGUUGUGUACACAUCGGCCUCGUUCUGAUUUCCCAUUCCUCUGGUGCACAGAAGAAUAAGGGUCAUAAAAAGAAAGUAAUAUGUCAAAGUCCAGUGGAAACAAGUUACGACAAAAGUGAAAGGGUAGCACUCAGAGGUGUCCAGAAACUCACAGGUGAGGGGGCCUGUCAUCCUAAUGGAUAUUGUGGCAUUUUGUCCCAUGGUUCUUUGUCGUUAUUAGUGACGACUGC
rnacentral:lncRNA from 1 species